rnacentral:rRNA from 1 species
AAACCGCUCAGGGGUAAACCUGCGAAACUCGAAUGAACGAACGGGGAGAUUCAUCGUUAUUCGGCGGCGUGGUGGCGCGCUCUCGAUACGCACCACCCCUCGGUGGUGUCGCACGGGGUGCGUCGCUCGACGUUCGCCGACGGCGUGCACUUCUCCCUUAGUAAUACAUCGCGACCCGUUCGAUGUCGGUCUAAGCGCCGUUCGGGAGUCAAUGUUGCACCUCUCGGGGUGCAGCGUUGACCGUGACGGUCGCCGACCGGCUGUCGGACGGUAUCUGAACGGAUCGCGUACGCGUUAACGCGCGUCCGGCCCGACGCAAGGUGUCCGUCGUUCAUCCCCCGUCCUGCCCGAGCGCGGGCGGGGGUGCGGCGCGCCUGUCGUCGCAGCCGUGCUGUCUCGGACUGUACGCGUCCC